GGCCGCGUGGCCUAAUGGCUAAGGCGCUAGAUUUCGGUUCCCUUCCGAUUCUCUAGAGAUUCCAGGUUCGACUCCUGGCGCGGUCG